GUCUGUCAUCCCUUCUGGCAGCACAUAUACUAAAAUUGGAACGCUACACAGAAGAUUAGCAUGGUCCCUGCACAAAGAUGACACACAAAGUCGUGAAGCGUUUUAUCCUUUC
rnacentral:snRNA from 1 species